rnacentral:rRNA from 1 species
GAUGAACGCUGGCGGCGUGCUUAACACAUGCAAGUCGAACGGAAAGGCUCCUGCUUGCAGGGGUACUCGAGUGGCGAACGGGUGAGUAACACGUGGGUGAUCUGCCCCGCACUUCGGGAUAAGCCUGGGAAACUGGGUCUAAUACCGGCUAGGACAGUGGUUUGGAUGCCAUUGUGGAAAGUUUUUUCGGUGUGGGAUGAGCUCGCGGCCUAUCAGCUUAUUGGUGGGGUAAUGGCCUACCAAGGCGUCGGCGGGUAGCCGGCCUGAGAGGGUGUACGGCCACAGUGAGACUGAGAUACGGCCCAGACUCCGACGGGAGGGAGCAGUGGGGAAGAUUGAACAAUGAGCGCAAGCCUGAUGCAGCGACGCCGCGUGGGGGAGGACGGCCUUCGGGUUGUAAACGCCUUUCGCUAGGGACGAAGCGGUAUGUGACGGUACCUAGAGAAGAAGCACCGGCUAACUACGUG